rnacentral:rRNA from 1 species
AGAGUUUGAUCCUGGCUCAGGAUGAACGCUAGCGGCAGGCUUAACACAUGCAAGUCGAGGGGUAUAUGUCUUCGGAUAUAGAGACCGGCGCACGGGUGCGUAACGCGUAUGCAAUCUACCUUUUACAGAGGGAUAGCCCAGAGAAAUUUGGAUUAAUACCUCAUAGUAUAGUGACUCGGCAUCGAGAUACUAUUAAAGUCACAACGGUAAAAGAUGAGCAUGCGUCCCAUUAGCUAGUUGGUAAGGUAACGGCUUACCAAGGCUACGAUGGGUAGGGGUCCUGAGAGGGAGAUCCCCCACACUGGUACUGAGACACGGACCAGACUCCUACGGGAGGCAGCAGUGAGGAAUAUUGGACAAUGGGCGCAAGCCUGAUCCAGCCAUGCCGCGUGCAGGAUGACGGUCCUAUGGAUUGUAAACUGCUUUUGUACGAGAAGAAACACUCCUACGUGUAGGAGCUUGACGGUAUCGUAAGAAUAAGGAUCGGCUAACUCCGUGCCAGCAGCCGCGGUAAUACGGAGGAUCCAAGCGUUAUCCGGAAUCAUUGGGUUUAAAGGGUCCGUAGGCGGUUUAGUAAGUCGGUGGUGAAAGCCCAUCGCUCAACGGUGGAACGGCCAUUGAUACUGCUAAACUUGAAUUAUUAGGAAGUAACUAGAAUAUGUAGUGUAGCGGUGAAAUGCUUAGAGAUUACAUGGAAUACCAAUUGCGAAGGCAGGUUACUACUAAUGGAUUGACGCUGAUGGACGAAAGCGUGGGUAGCGAACAGGAUUAGAUACCCUGGUAGUCCACGCCGUAAACGA